CUUUAAUAAAACCACGUUUGUUUUUCUGGCGAAAGAGGCGCAAGAUGAAUGCUUCUUGACAAGACUCAAUUAUUCUGUGGGCUCUAUACACCAAGAUGCCUGAGGGGGAGAAACGUAAUUUAAACUACAGAACAGGAACAUCGUAACACCAACAGGCAGAGAUCACAGAGAUCAUAGAAUGCUGACUAUGUGCCAUGCUACCAAGUAUUUUACAUAUAAGCAUUUCAUUUCACCCUGACAAUCCUAGGAGGAAGGUACUAUCUUUAUCACCAAUGUACGGGUGUGAGGGUAAAUCUGGCCCCCGUUCCUCCAUCUUGGCUGGAAGUGGAAGUCCCGGUGGAUAUUUUUGAGCCCCUGAUGUAUGCCAGGCACUGCUGUAAGCACUGAGUAUUCAAAGAUGAACAAAAUGAUGUGGCCCCAGUCUCCUAAAAUUUACUAUCAAGAGAAGAAGACAACAAGUAAAUAAAUACACAAAAUGAUUAUAGAUGGUCAUGCAUGCUAAGAAGUAACCAUGGACCAACAUGAGAAUAGUGGGGACAGGAGUUGCUGCACACUAACAGGUGAGGUAAAGUCUGAAGAAGCAGCCAGUCAUAUGAGGAGGAGGAGGAGGACAAGCAUCCCAGUCACGGAGAACAACUGUGCAAAGGACGUGAAAAGCUUGGCAUGCUCUAGGCACGCUCUAGGCACAGAUGGAAGUGAAGCAUCUGUUGAAAUGGAGGUGCCACAGAUGGAAGCAACCAUGGCACAGAGGGCAGCUUCCCCAGAAAACUGCCCAGACUCACAGAGGUCUUUGUGGGAGGAAGGAAUAAACCUAUGUAAAGCUCCCGAGAUUUUGGCAUUGCUUAUUACUGCAGCAUAACUUGGUCUGCUCCAGCC